rnacentral:rRNA from 1 species
CACUUUGGCAGAAAGAAUCGUCAUGGUUAUACCUGUGAAACUGACGUACUGCAGAUAGCACUGCUACUACGUGCCAGCAGCCGCGGUAAUACGUAAGAGUGCAAGCGUAAUCGAAUACUGGGCGUAAAGCGUGCGCAGGCGGUCGUAAAGAAAGAUGUGAAAUCCCAGAAGCUUAACUUUGGAACUGCAUUUUUAACUACCGAGCUAGAGUGUGUCAGAGGGAGGUGGAAUUCCGCGUGUAGCAGUGAAAUGCGUAGAUAUGCGGAGGAACACCGAUGGCGAAGGCAGCCUCCUGGGAUAACACUGACGCUCAUGCACGAAAGCGUGGGGAGCAAACAGGAUUAGAUACCUGGUAGUCACGCCCUAAACGAUGUCAACUAGCUGUUGGGGCCUUCGGGCCUUAGUAGCGCAGCUAACGCGUGAAGUUGACCGCCUGGGGAGUACGGUCGCAAGAUUAAAACUCAAAGGAAUUGACGGGGACCCGCACAAGCGGUGGAUGAUGUGGAUUAAUUCGAUGCAACGCGAAAAACCUUACCUACCCUUGACAUGUCUGGAAGGCCGAAGAGAUUUGGCUGUGCUCGCAAGAGAACCGGAACACAGGUGCUGCAUGGCUGUCGUCAGCUCGUGUCGUGAGAUGUUGGGUUAAGUCCCGCAACGAGCGCAACCCUUGUCAUUAGUUGCUACGAAAGGGCACUCUAAUGAGACUGCCGGUGACAAACCGGAGGAAGGUGGGGAUGACGUCAAGUCCUCAUGGCCCUUAUGGGUAGGGCUUCACACGUCAUACAAUGGUCGGGACAGAGGGUCGCCAACCCGCGAGGGGGAGCCAAUCCCAGAAACCCGAUCGUAGUCCGGAUCGCAGUCUGCAACUCGACUGCGUGAAGUCGGAAUCGCUAGUAAUCGCGGAUCAGCAUGUCGCGGUGAAUACGUUCCCGGGUCUUGUACACACCGCCCGUCACACCAUGGGAGUGGGUUUUACCAGAAGUAGUUAGCCUAACCGCAAGGGGGGCGAUUACCACGGUAGGAUUCAUGACUGGGGUGAAGUCGUAACAAGGUAACCG